rnacentral:lncRNA from 1 species
GACAAAUCAUUCAUUUUGUUCCUACUAAACCUAUAGUUUAUCAUAGUGCAAGAUCGAUUAGCCUCAUCAAGAAUGUUUCUUGGGAAAUUGGCAAUUGCGAUCUUGGUGUUGGCAAUAGCUUGUCCCCACCUUGUGACAAGCCAAAGGCAGCCAAUAUGUCGCAAGAUUCAGAAGCUAAGAAUCCUCCACAUUUGUCGAGCUUUCACGAAGAAAGGAUCCACAAUUCGUGCUGUAUCCCCAGAGAGCAAGUGCUGUGAGGAGGUGAGGAAAGUUCAGAACAGUGACAUGCGCUGCGUCGUCUCCAUACUGACAGAUAAAGAGAGGAGCGAACACGACACAGACAAGAUCUUGUCCCUUCAAACGCUCUGCGAAAUUCCGCCCCCUCCUAAUCAGAAUAAGGUGAAAUCGUCUAUCGUUGAUUGUCGAUCUAUUUCUACAAUAUGACAAGCUCAUAGAAUGUUGAUUAAUCCUUGUGUCCUAAUUAACAGACCAUGGCGUGAAGGGACGAGACUGUCAAUACUAAUAAUGGAGUCACAAGAUCUGAAGUAACUAGCUUGUUGAACACAAUGCUAGUUUCUGUCCCUGAAUAAAUCAGUCUCUAGAACGUUAAAUGGUCUGUCAGUAUAUUUAUUUUUCUCAAAGUCUCUUAGCAAUUAGUGCACCUCCUCCUAUAUCUUCUAAUCCAGUGUUGAGUUUCUAUAGGUGGAUAUGUGUAAUAAAUGCUAUAAUUAGUAUGCUUUGCACUAUUAAAAAAAUAUUUUAGGAGGUGGUUGUUUUUUUAUAAACGGAGGCAGGAACGACAUCCGCCUUUGUCAUAACGCCAUUGUUUACGAAGAUGCCUCCGUUAAUCAGGCUUUCCGAAGACAGGCUGCCUCAGUUAAUGUUAUUUAUGAAGAUGGUCGCUUUAAGACGUCUGCAUCCGUUAAUUGUCUCAAAACACUAAGAAAACAAAAUAUUUAGGCAAGUCUCAAUGCAUGUUUCAUGAGAGUGUCAUGCACAUUAAAUAGGGUGCCACAUAAGUAUAAUUGCUGACUUGGCAGGG